AUUGAACGCUGGCGGCAGGCCUAACACAUGCAAGUCGAGCGGAUGAAGGGAGCUUGCUCCUGGAUUCAGCGGCGGACGGGUGAGUAAUGCCUAGGAAUCCGCCUGGUAGUGGGGGAUAACGUCCGGAAACGGGCGCUAAUACCGCAUACGUCCUGAGGGAGAAAGUGGGGGAUCUUCGGACCUCACGCUAUCAGAUGAGCCUAGGUCGGAUUAGCUAGUUGGUGGGGUAAAGGCCUACCAAGGCGACGAUCCGUAACUGGUCUGAGAGGAUGAUCAGUCACACUGGAACUGAGACACGGCCCAGACUCCUACGGGAGGCAGCAGUGGGGAAUAUUGGACAAUGGGCGAAAGCCUGAUCCAGCCAUGCCGCGUGUGUGAAGAAGGUCUUCGGAUUGUAAAGCACUUUAAGUUGGGAGGAAGGGCAGUAAGUUAAUACCUUGCUGUUUUGACGUUACCAACAGAAUAAGCACCGGCUAACUUCGUG
rnacentral:rRNA from 1 species